rnacentral:rRNA from 1 species
GAUGAACGCUGGCGGCGUGCCUAAUACAUGCAAGUCGAGCGAACAGACGAGGAGCUUGCUCCUCUGACGUUAGCGGCGGACGGGUGAGUAACACGUGGAUAACCUACCUAUAAGACUGGGAUAACUUCGGGAAACCGGAGCUAAUACCGGAUAAUAUAUUGAACCGCAUGGUUCAAUAGUGAAAGACGGUUUUGCUGUCACUUAUAGAUGGAUCCGCGCUGCAUUAGCUAGUUGGUAAGGUAACGGCUUACCAAGGCAACGAUCCGUAGCCGACCUGAGAGGGUGAUCCGCCACACUGGAACUGAGACACGGUCCAGACUCCUACGGGAGGCAGCAGUAGGGAAUCUUCCGCAAUGGGCGAAAGCUUGACGGAGCAACGCCGCGUGAGUGAUGAAGGUCUUCGGAUCGUAAAACUCUGUUAUUAGGGAAGAACAAAUGUGUAAGUAACUAUGCACGUCUUGACGGUACCUAAUCAGAAAGCCACGGCUAACUACGUG